UACGGAGGGUGCAAGCGUUAAUCGGAAUUACUGGGCGUAAAGCGCGCGUAGGCGGCUGAGUAAGUCGAUUGUGAAAUCCCCGGGCUUAACCUGGGAACUGCAGUCGAGACUGUCUAGCUAGAGUAUGGGAGAGGGAAGUGGAAUUUCAGGUGUAGCGGUGAAAUGCGUAGAUAUCUGAAGGAACAUCAGUGGCGAAAGCGACUUCCUGGACCAAUACUGACGCUCAUGUGCGAAAGCGUGGGGAGCAAACAGG
rnacentral:rRNA from 1 species